AGAGUUUGAUCCUGGCUCAGAAUCAACGCUGGCGGCGUGCCUAACACAUGCAAGUCGAACGCGAAAGGGGCUUCGGCCCUGAGUAGAGUGGCGAACGGGUGAGUAACACGUGGGUGAUCUACCUUCGAGUGGGGGAUAACGUCCCGAAAGGGACGCUAAUACCGCAUGACGUUCUGGGUUUGAAGACCUGGAAACCAAAGCCGGGGACCGCAAGGCCUGGCGCUUGAAGAGGAGCCCGCGUCCGAUUAGCUAGUUGGCGGGGUAAUGGCCCACCAAGGCGACGAUCGGUAGCCGGCCUGAGAGGGCGGACGGCCACACUGGAACUGAGACACGGUCCAGACUCCUACGGGAGGCAGCAGUGGGGAAUUGUUCACAAUGGGCGCAAGCCUGAUGACGCAACGCCGCGUGGGGGAUGAAGGUCUUCGGAUUGUAAACCCCUGUCGAAACGGGACGAAAGACCCUGGAGCUAAUCAUUCAGGGAGUGACGGUACCGUUAAAGGAAGCC
rnacentral:rRNA from 1 species